rnacentral:rRNA from 1 species
CUCCCCCAAGAGUCCACAUCGACGGGGAGGUUUGGCACCUCGAUGUCGGCUCAUCACAUCCUGGGGCUGUAGUAGGUCCCAAGGGUUGGGCUGUUCGCCCAUUAAAGUGGUACGCGAGCUGGGUUAAGAACGUCGUGAGACAGUUCGGUCCCUAUCCGUCGCAGGCGUAGGAAAUUUGAGAAGACCUGUCCUUAGUACGAGAGGACCGGGAUGGACGUACCUCUGGUGUACCAGUUGUUCUGCCAAGGGCAUG